GACCUCGUAAGUAUAGUCGUCUGAGACCGCGUAACUGGCACUAUGUUGUUUUUUAAAUUUAGGAUGAAUCUUCAGAGAUGUUCUACGCAUAUGCGGCAGAGUUCAACGAUGUUAGUGUGGAAGCAGCUUCCAAAAAGAAGCACCUGCGGCGCUCUAGUCUUCUCUCAAAGAAGGCUUCCAUUGUUGUGGAGUACAUUGAACGACAUCAUGGCCUAGAAGAACAUACCUGGGAAAAAUACUAGCAGCAACGAGUACCACACAGCCGCCAGAAUGCACGCCGCCAUUUUGAAACACGUCUGAGUGAACCGAUGGUUUCCAUGGAUUCCAUGAAGAUUCAAUUGAUUUGCUGCUUUUUAAUUGUCCAAUUAUUUUUAAAAAUAAACAUUUUGGUAAA